GGGUUGGUAGCUCAGUGGUAGAGCAUCCGGCUUUUAACCGGUUGGUCGAGGGUUCAAAUCCCUCUCAACCCA
rnacentral:tRNA from 1 species